rnacentral:rRNA from 1 species
UACGUAGGGGGCAAGCGUUGUCCGGAUUUAUUGGGCGUAAAGAGCGUGUAGGCGGCUAGGUAGGUCCGUUGUGAAAACUCGAGGCUCAACCUCGAGACGCCGGUGGAAACCAUCUAGCUAGAGUCCGGAAGAGGAGAGUGGAAUUCCUGGUGUAGCGGUGAAAUGCGCAGAUAUCAGGAAGAACACCCGUGGCGAAGGCGGCUCUCUGGUACGUGACUGACGCUGAGACGCGAAAGCGUGGGGAGCGAACAGGAUUAGAUACCCUGGUAGUCCACGCUGUAAACGAUGGGUGCUAGGUGUGGGCGGUGUCGACUCCGUCCGUGCCGAAGCUAACGCAUUAAGCACCCCACCUGGGGAGUACGGCCGCAAGGCUAAA